GGGUAGUUACCAGAGCGGUCAAAUGGGGCUGACUGUAAAUCAGCUGAAUAUAUCUACGGUGGUUCGAAUCCACCACUGCCCA
rnacentral:tRNA from 2 species